rnacentral:rRNA from 1 species
UACGUAGGGACCAAGCGUUGUUCGGAUUUACUGGGCGUAAAGGGCGCGUAGGCGGCUUAACAAGUCACUUGUGAAAUCUCCGGGCUUAACUCGGAACGGCCAAGUGAAACUGUCAAGCUAGAGUGCAGAAGGGGCAAUCGGAAGUUCUUGGUGUAGCGGUGAAAUGCGUAGAUAUCAAGAGGAACACCUGAGGUGAAGACGGGUUGCUGGGCUGACACUGACGCUGAGGCGCGAAAGCCAGGGGAGCAAACGGG